UACGUAGGGUGCGAGCGUUAAUCGGAAUUACUGGGCGUAAGUGUGCGCAGGCGGCCGCGCAAGUCGAGUGUGAAAUCCCCGAGCUUAACUUGGGAAUUGCGCUCGAAACUACGUGGCUGGAGUGUGGCAGAGGAAGGUGGAAUUCCACGUGUAGCGGUGAAAUGCGUAGAGAUGUGGAGGAACACCGAUGGCGAAGGCAGCCUUCUGGGCCAACACUGACGCUCAUGCACGAAAGCGUGGGGAGCAAACAGG
rnacentral:rRNA from 1 species